UAGAGAACCCUACCGUGAACGUUGUCACAUACCGGACGGGGUAUGGAGACAUUCCGUUUCACCCUCAUACCGGAUUGGGUAUUGAGAUUUUAAUAUCUUGGUACUCAUACCGGACGGGGUAUGGGGACGACUCUGUAAUUAAGAUUGUUAAGAAAAAGGGUCUCGUGUAGUGGGGACACCCCUAUGGAUCCCCUUGGAUACUAGUGGGCUGGAGAAACGAGAGACGGUUAUGAUUUAGUUAUUGUUAAUGAAUAUGAAUUUAUGAUAUGUUCUAUGUUACUGAUUGUGCAUGAAGUUAUGAUUUGUAUGAUGUUAUUGUCUUUAUAGGUUGUUU
rnacentral:lncRNA from 1 species